GACGAACGCUGGCGGCGCGCCUAACACAUGCAAGUCGAACGAGCGAGAGAGAGCUUGCUUUCUUGAGCGAGUGGCGAACGGGUGAGUAACGCGUGAGGAACCUGCCUCAAAGAGGGGGACAACAGUUGGAAACGACUGCUAAUACCGCAUAGGCCCACGACCCGGCAUCGGGUUGAGGGAAAAGGAGCAAUCCGCUUUGAGAUGGCCUCGCGUCCGAUUAGCUAGUUGGUGAGGUAACGGCCCACCAAGGCGACGAUCGGUAGCCGGACUGAGAGGUUGAACGGCCACAUUGGGACUGAGACACGGCCCAGACUCCUACGGGAGGCAGCAGUGGGGAAUAUUGCACAAUGGGGGAAACCCUGAUGCAGCGACGCCGCGUGGAGGAAGAAGGUCUUCGGAUUGUAAACUCCUGUUGUUGAGGAAGAUAAUGACGGUACUCAACAAGGAAGUGACGGCUAACUACGUG
rnacentral:rRNA from 1 species